rnacentral:rRNA from 1 species
CCAUAAAGUUGUUCUCAGUUCGGAUUGUAGUCUGCAACUCGACUACAUGAAGCUGGAAUCGCUAGUAAUCGUAGAUCAGCAUGCUACGGUGAAUACGUUCCCGGGUCUUGUACACACCGCCCGUCACACCACGAGAGUUUGUAACACCCGAAGCCGGUGGAGUAACCUUUUAGGAGCUAGCCGUCGAAGGUGGGACAAAUGAUUGGGGUGAAGUCGUAACAAGGUAGCCGUAUCGGAAGGUGCGGCUGGAUCACCUCCUUU